rnacentral:rRNA from 1 species
UACGGGGGGGGGCAAGCGUUGUUCGGAAUUACUGGGCGUAAAGGGCUCGUAGGCGGCCAACUCAGUCGGACGUGAAAUCCCUCGGCUUAACCGGGGAACUGCGUCUGAUACUGGAUGGCUCGAGAUUGGGAGAGGGAUGCGGAAUUCCAGGUGUAGCGGUGAAAUGCGUAGAUAUCUGGAGGAACACCGGUGGCGAAGGCGGCAUCCUGGACCAACACUGACGCUGAGGAGCGAAAGCCAGGGGAGCAAACGGG